rnacentral:tRNA from 1 species
GCCGAGAUAGCUCAGUGGUAGAGCACAGGACUGAAAAUCCUGGUGUCGGCGGUUCAAUCCCGCCUCUCGGCA